rnacentral:rRNA from 1 species
CUACGGGCCGCUCCAGUGAGGAAUAUUGCACAAUGGGGGGAACCCUGAUGCAGCAACGCCGCGUGGAGGAUGACGCAUUUCGGUGUGUAAACUCCUUUUAUAUGUCAAGAAAAUGACGGUAGCAUAUGAAUAAGCACCGGCUAACGUCCGUGCCAGCAGCCGCGGUAAUACGGAGGGUGCAAGCGUUACUCGGAAUCACUGGGCGUAAAGGACGCGUAGGCGGGUUGGAAAGCCAGGUGUGAAAUCCUACAGCUUAACUGUAGAACUGCACUUGAAACUUCUAAUCUAGAGUAUGGGAGGGGGAGAUGGAAUUAGUGGUGUAGGGGUAAAAUCCGUAGAUAUCACUAGGAAUACCUAAAGCGAAGGCGAUCUCCUGGAACAUUACUGACGCUAAGGCGUGAAAGCGUGGGGAGCAAACAGGAUUAGAUACCCGGGUAGUC